UACGUAGGGUGCGAGCGUUGUCCGGAAUUAUUGGGCGUAAAGAGCUCGUAGGCGGUCAGUCGCGUCUGCUGUGAAAACUCGGGGCUUAACUCCGGGCCUGCGGUGGAUACGGGCAGGCUAGAGGCUGGUAGGGGCAAGCGGAAUUCCUGGUGUAGCGGUGAAAUGCGCAGAUAUCAGGAGGAACACCGGUGGCGAAGGCGGCUUGCUGGGCCAGUUCUGACGCUGAGGAGCGAAAGCGUGGGGAGCGAACAGG
rnacentral:rRNA from 1 species